UGUGUUUAACGUCUUGUAAUGGUAUCCAAGUCUUCAAUUAUAAUUUUUAAUUUCAAUUUUUAUGUGUUUCUUUGAGCAGUGUUGCCUUUUUUCAAAAUUUGUGUAGGCUCGGAUGUAAAAACGGUGCGUGUGGGAUUUUUUAACAUUUUUUCAGUACUUUGGAAGACUAUCCAAUCACUCUCUUUCAAUGAGGUGGGUGCGCGACUUUCCGGACAUCCUGUAAAUAUAUAUUAAUAUUAAUAUUAAUAUUAAUAUUAAUAUUAAUAUUAAUAUUAAUAUUAAUAUUAAUAUUAGUAUUAAUAUUAAUAUUAAUAUAUUAAUAUAUAUUAGAGGUGAAAUUCUUCGAUCGUCGCAAGAAUGACAGAAGCGAAAGCGUUUGCCAAAAACGCUUUCAUUAAUCAAGAACGAAAGUUAGAGGUUCGAAGGCGGUCAGAUACCGCCCUAGUUCUAACCAUAAACGAUGCCGGCUAGCGAUCCGCCGACGUUCCUCCGACGACUCGUCGAGCAGCUGCCAAAGCUUUUGAGCUACA
rnacentral:ncRNA from 1 species